GGGCAGUUUCUGAUGGACUGGAGAGCGACAUUUAACAAGAUACCUCAAAUAAGAAAGUUACACAACUAACACUUUUCUCAAUAGUGUAAAAAAAAAUUACUUACCUUUUAUAGUUGCUGAUGAGGACCGAGGAGGCGAGGACUGAGAACUGAGAAAGACUGAGGACUGAGGAAGACAGAGGAUUGAGGACAACCAAGUUGCUGACAGCGUUGAGAGCCGAUGGACUGGAGAGCGACGGCCGAAGAUUGCGUGGAGAGCGACGACCGACGAUUGUGUGGAGACUGGAGAGAGAGAAUAGAGAGCUACAGUGAGGUGAGGAGGAGUCGGCGACU
rnacentral:lncRNA from 1 species